rnacentral:rRNA from 1 species
CCUACGUGUGGCAGCAGUGAGGAAUAUUGGUCAAUGGACGAGAGUCUGAACCAGCCAAGUAGCGUGAAGGAUGACUGCCCUAUGGGUUGUAAACUUCUUUUAUAUGGGAAUAAAAUGUUCCACGUGUGGGAUUUUGUAUGUAACAUAUGAAUAAGGAUCGGCUAACUCCGUGCCCGCAGCCGCGGUUAUACGGAGGAUCCGAGCGUUAUCCGGAUUUAUUGGGUUUAAAGGGAGCGUAGGUGGUUGGUUAAGUCAGUUGGGAAAGUUUGCGGCACAACCGUAAAAGUGCAGUUGAAACUGGCAGUCUUGAGUACAUGAGAGGUGGGCGGAAUGCGUGGUGUAGCGGUGAAAUGCAUAGAUAUCACGAAGAACUCCGAUUGCGAAGGCAGUUCACUGGACUGCAACUGACACUGAGGCUCGAAAGUGUGGGUAUCAAACAGGAUUAGAUACCCUAGUAGUC